AGCGAACGCUGGCGGCAGGCUUAACACAUGCAAGUCGAGCGGGCAUCCUUGUGGUGUCAGCGGCAGACGGGUGAGUAACGCGUGGGAACGUGCCCUUCGGUUCGGAAUAACUCAGGGAAACUUGAGCUAAUACCGGAUACGCCCUUCUGGGGAAAGGCUUGCUGCCGAAGGAUCGGCCCGCGUCUGAUUAGCUAGUUGGUGAGGUUAUGGCUCACCAAGGCGACGAUCAGUAGCUGGUCUGAGAGGAUGAGCAGCCACACUGGGACUGAGGCACGGGCCAGACUUCUACCGGAGGCAGCAAUUGGGAAUAUUGGACAAUGGGGGCAACCCUGAUCCAGCCAUGCCGCGUGAGUGAUGACGGCCUUAGGGUUGUAAAGCUCUUUUCUCCGGGACGAUAAUGACGGUACCGGAGGAAUAAGCCCCGGCUAACUUCGUGCCAGCAGCCGCGGUAAAAC
rnacentral:rRNA from 1 species